rnacentral:lncRNA from 1 species
GACAAAAGCCUGUUAUUCAUUCAACGAACAAAGGAUUAAGUCUGGCCCACGAUUAACAGCAUCAUGUAACUGCUGCUAAUCUUUGGACUGGAGAGAUGCUGAAUGUUCGGUGAGUAACAGAAAGAAAAGAGUGUGAACAAAUUAAUAUUCCCUACAAAAAGAAAAGAAAAAAAAGUUAGAAAACAAAAUAAUUAUUAGUGAAACUUAUUUUGUUACUUUUCUUUUCAUUGAAUCUUACUAAUUCGCUAAAAAGCAAAAAAGAAAAGAAAAAAGAAAGAGUGAACGAGAGAGAAAGCGUGUGCAUGUGCGAAUGAGAGAGAGAGAAAUUGAGUAAGUGUCAGAGAAUAUCAUGUUGGUGCUGUUUGUCAUUUAUCUUUUUUUAUUUUUUAUUUCUUCUGUCCACCCUUCUCUCACUUCACCUGCUUAAUCUAUCGGCGAGGAGCUGAGUGAUGAGGCUGGGUAAGUUGGUAAGCUUGCAUUAGAGUGACUGGCGUGAGAUUCCUUCUCUGUUGUGAACCGGCCGGCUGCUACCUACUGGACCUAAGUUAAGGCUUGUAUGAAAAUAGAGAUAGCAAGUAAAUACAUGCCUGAACGAAAACUAUCUUUUUGACAAGCUGCCAUGCUCUCUGCUGUCUGUUUUUGUUAUGGUUCUCUUUUUCUCUAUCGUCAAUGUUUUUGUUAUGACCCCCCCUCCUUUCUUCCCUCUCUUAUUAGUCUAUCAUUUCUUUGUGUUUAUGAGGGGCACGAUAAAAUUGGCUCUCAUUACUAUUGACAUGUCUGAUGUUGCGUUGUGAUGAUUAGGGGUACAGAUUGAAAUGAAUAGAUUUAUCCAACACGAAAAUUCUUCAUCGAUGUGUAACAGGGUAUGUCCAUCUCUCAUCACCAUCCGUCCUUUCGACCUCCUGCUGUCCUUAUCCUUGUUAUGUGUGUCAGUAGCACUGUAAAACGAGAUGUAAGUAACCGACGAAGUGAAUGGCAUGUGUGUCGCCAGACUGAUUGAUACGCAUGGUUUGUUGUUGACAGAAGUUCUUUCAAAUGAAUGAAUGAAUGGGAUAUUUUGAAGUAUUUAUUAAAUAUGCACGAAAUAAAUAAACUGUACUGCUGGAUCUGCCAACCAUACCGCCCACCUACUAUACUGAUCUUGAUUGAAUAUAGUACACGAGAUAAUGUAUGCACACUUCAACCUAUGUUCGUUUUCUGGAUUGAAGUGACAAUGAUGGUGAUAAUAGUUAUGUUUGCGUGUGUCGCGGGGUUUAUUGGCUGUCAGUUUAUGUAUAAAGUCAUGAUUUAUAUGCAUGUUUGUACACGCGCGCGCAUGCACACAUGCAAACACACACACUUGCACUUUUCUUUUAUAUGUACUUCUUUUAUUACACACGUUUAUAAACUUACAUGCACGAGCCUUUACGUGAUUGCUUAGAUUUGCUGCAAAUAGCGACCGAAUCUCCCUCAAAUCACACCUUACCGUUUUCUUAAAGAAGGUUGUGUCUGAAAAGAUGGGAUGGUCGCGACGGGAAUUCUUUGAUUAUGAAGGCUGACCCAAGACCAAACAACAACAAUAACAACUUAUAUUCAUAGAUUCAAACAUGACUGCUUUUUAUCUUUUAUUGAUUUUAUUAAUAAUACAUGUGGUAACACAAUCCAGUGCUUUCUAAUAUUUUUUUUCCUAUAAUGUUGCGUGUGUGUUGUGUGUGUAGGGAUGGAUAUACAUGAAGGGACCAAUUGAAUAGUUAUCAUUUCAUCAUGACUACCCUUACGAAAUAUAUUCAUUUUGUUUCGUUUAUUUUUCUUUGCUUUUCUUAUUUUAUUUUCCGUGGAUUACAUUUUUUUUCUUCUAUAACG